UCCACAGAGAGGGUUCUACAAGUCCACAGAGAGGGUUCUACAAGUCCACAGAAUGGGUUCUACAAAUGCUACCCCCUCUAGUGAAAAUUCCCCCACAAAGAAGAUUGAUCCAUCAUAAACUGGACGUACACUGAGUGAACCAAACAUUAGGAACACCUUUUGUAAAAAGAAAAGAGCAGGUGUUCUUAAUGUUUUGUACACUCAGUGUACGUGCCCUUAGUAUACAUGAACACCUGCCCUGUAAAUGUCAAUACACGGCCCUGGCAAUUCUCCUGAAGGGACCUACUAUGCUAUAGAAGUGACCUUGAAGUGUUUAACUCGUUCCAUGGAACUUUCCUGCCUCACCUGAGAGUAGAGGAGGUGAGAGACAGCCCUUUCUGGGAAAAUAACACCAUUUAGUCUCCUCCCCCAAAGCUUAAAAUAAGAGCACACACACUCUUCUCUCUCACACACAAAGUUUAGUCGUCGGAAAGUUGGUCGCUGUGCUGAAAAUCUUCCAGAACCUCACAGAUCUAGGAUCAGCUCAUCCUCAUCAAAUCCAAACCAGGACGUUUAGAAUUCACAAGGGGAACACUGACCUCAGACCAGCGUUUAAACCCCACGUCUUCCUGCCUAGACACUGACUCUCUGUCCAGAGUUCCUCUGUGCUCCAGCCGUAUAUCCAUCCAUCCAUCCACACCCCAGCCAUCCAGCCAUGGGUCUGAUGAGCGAGGACAUGGAGUGCUGCGUCUGCCUCCAGCCCUACUCUCGCAGGGAGAAGAUCCCUCGGAUGCUCCACUGUAAGCACACAUUCUGUGGGCUGUGCUUGCAGGCGAUGUCCAGGCUCCAGAGCUGCCUACUGACAGUCUGCUGCCCCCUGUGCCGUUGGAUCACCUGCACCGAGCCCAGCCUCACCCUGUCGGGGUCGCUGUGGGUUAACACUGAGAUCUGGGACCAGAUAAUAGACACACAACAGAAAGAGGAGGAGGAAGAGGAGUAAGAGUGGAAGGGAGCUAACAGACAGACACAGACCACUACACAGUACACAUGGUCUCCAUCAAAGCAUUGUGACCUGAGGCUCAAACUACGGAAUUUCCUGAGGAGGAUGAAGCACAAUGUACUGUAAACCGAGAAGAGGAAGAGCAGAGAAGAAGAAGACUGUAUUUGACCAUUUCAGAGUAGGAGAUACUCAUUGAGUAAUGAAGAUAAUUCACCAAACAGGACCGACCGGUGAUUUUCAAAAGUGAGGCAAGAUUGAACCAAUUAUUAAUAUGCUUGGGUUUGAUUGACUUUGGGUAUGUGUAAUGUUCUCAGUCAACUUACCUGGUAAAAUAAGGAUUAAAUUAUAAUAUUAAUAAUAAAGGAUGGAUUGGGGGAGGGAAUAAAAAAUAAGAUUUUAAAUGGAUUGAGGAUGAAAGAAAGAUCAAGGAAGUUAUGGAAGGAAGGAAGGAAGGAAGUUAUGGAAGGAAGGAAGGAAGUUAUGGAAGGAAGAAAGGAAGUUAUGGAAGGA